rnacentral:rRNA from 1 species
CCUACGGGGGGCUGCAGUGGGGAAUAUUGCACAAUGGGCGCAAGCCUGAUGCAGCCAUGCCGCGUGUGUGAAGAAGGCCUUCGGGUUGUAAAGCACUUUCAGCGGGGAGGAAGGCGGUGAGGUUAAUAACCUCAUCGAUUGACGUUACCCGCAGAAGAAGCACCGGCUAACUCCGUGCCAGCAGCCGCGGUAAUACGGAGGGUGCAAGUGUUAAUCGGAAUUACUGGGCGUAAAGCGCACGCAGGCGGUCUGUCAAGUCGGAUGUGAAAUCCCCGGGCUCAACCUGGGAACUGCAUUCGAAACUGGCAGGCUAGAGUCUUGUAGAGGGGGGUAGAAUUCCAGGUGUAGCGGUGAAAUGCGUAGAGAUCUGGAGGAAUACCGGUGGCGAAGGCGGCCCCCUGGACAAAGACUGACGCUCAGGUGCGAAAGCGUGGGGAGCAAACAGGAUUAGAUACCCCUGUAGUC